rnacentral:rRNA from 1 species
AGAGUUUGAUCAUGGCUCAGAUUGAACGCUGGCGGCAGGCCUAACACAUGCAAGUCGAACGGUAACAGGAAGCAGCUUGCUGCUUUGCUGACGAGUGGCGGACGGGUGAGUAAUGUCUGGGAAACUGCCUGAUGGAGGGGGAUAACUACUGGAAACGGUGGCUAAUACCGCAUAACGUCGCAAGACCAAAGAGGGGGACCUUCGGGCCUCUUGCCAUCAGAUGUGCCCAGAUGGGAUUAGCUUGUUGGUGAGGUAACGGCUCACCAAGGCGACGAUCCCUAGCUGGUCUGAGAGGAUGACCAGCCACACUGGAACUGAGACACGGUCCAGACUCCUACGGGAGGCAGCAGUGGGGAAUAUUGCACAAUGGGCGCAAGCCUGAUGCAGCCAUGCCGCGUGUAUGAAGAAGGCCUUCGGGUUGUAAAGUACUUUCAGCGGGGAGGAAGGUGUUGUGGUUAAUAACCGCAGCAAUUGACGUUACCCGCAGAAGAAGCACCGGCUAACUCCGUGCCAGCAGCCGCGGUAAUACGGAGGGUGCAAGCGUUAAUCGGAAUUACUGGGCGUAAAGCGCACGCAGGCGGUCUGUCAAGUCGGAUGUGAAAUCCCCGGGCUCAACCUGGGAACUGCAUUCGAAACUGGCAGGCUUGAGUCUUGUAGAGGGGGGUAGAAUUCCAGGUGUAGCGGUGAAAUGCGUAGAGAUCUGGAGGAAUACCGGUGGCGAAGGCGGCCCCCUGGACAAAGACUGACGCUCAGGUGCGAAAGCGUGGGGAGCAAACAGGAUUAGAUACCCUGGUAGUCCACGCCGUAAACGAUGUCUACUUGGAGGUUGUGCCCUUGAGGCGUGGCUUCCGGAGCUAACGCGUUAAGUAGACCGCCUGGGGAGUACGGCCGCAAGGUUAAAACUCAAAUGAAUUGACGGGGGCCCGCACAAGCGGUGGAGCAUGUGGUUUAAUUCGAUGCAACGCGAAGAACCUUACCUGGUCUUGACAUCCACAGAACUUUCCAGAGAUGGAUUGGUGCCUUCGGGAACUGUGAGACAGGUGCUGCAUGGCUGUCGUCAGCUCGUGUUGUGAAAUGUUGGGUUAAGUCCCGCAACGAGCGCAACCCUUAUCCUUUGUUGCCAGCGGUCCGGCCGGGAACUCAAAGGAGACUGCCAGUGAUAAACUGGAGGAAGGUGGGGAUGACGUCAAGUCAUCAUGGCCCUUACGACCAGGGCUACACACGUGCUACAAUGGCGCAUACAAAGAGAAGCGACCUCGCGAGAGNAAGCGGACCUCAUAAAGUGCGUCGUAGUCCGGAUUGGAGUCUGCAACUCGACUCCAUGAAGUCGGAAUCGCUAGUAAUCGUGGAUCAGAAUGCCACGGUGAAUACGUUCCCGGGCCUUGUACACACCGCCCGUCACACCAUGGGAGUGGGUUGCAAAAGAAGUAGGUAGCUUAACCUUCGGGGGGGCGCUUACCACUUUGUGAUUCAUGACUGGGGUGAAGUCGUAACAAGGUAACCGUAGGGGAACCUGCGGUUG